CUGUGCAGAGGUGAACCAAGACAGCAUGGAGGCCGAGCUUUGCAUUCCCACACCCCCCUGACCCCACCCACUAUCCAGCACAUGGAGUGAUGAAACAAGACGGUGAGUGAGGCAUCAGUGUCUCAGAAUAAUCAGGUGUGCAUGCAGCCAGAUGACGGUGCGUGUAUGGAAUGAGCUGCCAGAGGAAGUGGUGGAGCCUGGUACAAUUACA